rnacentral:misc_RNA from 1 species
GAUUACAAGGAAAAUGAUGCUGUUCUUUUCUUUGAUGGUGAGUCAUUCCGGCUGGAGCGGUUACAUAGGGCAGUUAAGCGGUUGAGGUAUAAUCGACUCCCCGGAGAAUCCGCUGCGGCAGUAGCACCUGGUCCUUCUCGUUCUCCUGCUCCUUCUCCAAUUGGAAUGCCUGUGGAGACACGUUCACCACCAGUUGCCAAAGGGGCUAAGUUUCAGUCUCUUAAUAAGCCUGCAGUUCCUGUGCCUGCUGUACGAGUUGAGGUGGAAAGGAUCGAAGUUGGUGACUUUAGAAGUUCAGAUUCAAGACCCAAAAAUGAGAAGAUUGCUGAACAUCCACCUUCACAUGCAAAUCAUUCAACUGCAUCACCAGACAUGAAGUAUGAUGACCUGGAUGAACAAUUAGAUAUACUGAAUGAUGAUGAGGAUGAUACUACCGCAGCCAAUGGUGGGAAUAUUACUGUUGAAGAAUUCAAAACUGGCAUUGAUAUUAAUAUCCCACACCAAAAUGAUACAGAUGAUGAGAUAGCUGAUGUGGAUGUAAGUGAUGAUGAUGAGGACAAGGGCCGCAAUGCUGCAGAAGAACUUAGAGCUCAGGUAAAUGCAGAGGUAAAAGAGAAUCAUACUUCGAGUUCUAGCAGUAGUAGCAGCAGUGACAGUAGUGGAAGUGGGAGUGGGAGCGGGA